AGUGAACGCUGGCGGUAGGCCUAACACAUGCAAGUCGAACGGCAGCACAGUAAGAGCUUGCUCUUACGGGUGGCGAGUGGCGGACGGGUGAGGAAUACAUCGGAAUCUACUUUUUCGUGGGGGAUAACGUAGGUAAACUUACGCUAAUACCGCAUACGACCUACGGGUGAAAGCAGGGGAUCUUCGGACCUUGCGCGAUUGAAUGAGCCGAUGUCGGAUUAGCUAGUUGGCGGGGUAAAGGCCCACCAAGGCGACGAUCCGUAGCUGGUCUGAGAGGAUGAUAAGCCACACUGGAACUGAGACACGGUCCAGACUCCUACGGGAGGCAGCAGUGGGGAAUAUUGGACAAAGGGCGCAAGCCUGAUCCAGCCAUACCGCGUGGGUGAAGAAGGCCUUCGGGUUGGAAAGCCCUUUUGUUGGGAAAGAAAAGCAGCAGGUUAAUACCCCGCUGUUCUGACGGUACCCAAAGAAUAAGCACCGGCUAACUUCGUG
rnacentral:rRNA from 1 species